rnacentral:rRNA from 1 species
UACGUAGGCAGCAAGCGUUGUUCGGAGUUACUGGGCGUAAAGGGUGUGUAGGCGGUUCUUUUAAGUUUGGUGUGAAAUCUCCAGGCUCAACCGGGAGGGUGCGCCGAAUACUGAGGGACUAGAGUGUGGGAGAGGAAGUGGAAUCCUGGUGUAGCGGUGAAAUGCGUAGAUAUCAGGAGGAACACCGGUGGUGUAGACGGCUUUCUGGACCAUAACUGACGCUGAGACACGAAAGCGUGGGUAGCAACAGG